GUUUCAGCAGCCGCGGUAAUACGGAGGGUGCGAGCGUUGUCCGGAAUCAUUGGGCGUAAAGGGCGCGUAGGUGGCCCGGUCAGUCAGUGGUGAAAGCGCGGGGCUCAACUCCGCGUCGGCCAUUGAUACUGCUGGGCUUGAGCACUGUAGAGGCAGGCGGAAUUCCGGGUGUAGCGGUGGAAUGCGUAGAGAUCCGGAAGAACACCGGUGGCGAAGGCGGCCUGCUGGGCAGUAGCUGACACUGAGGCGCGACAGCGUGGGGAGCAAACAGGAUUAGAAACCCUGGUAGUCC
rnacentral:rRNA from 1 species